rnacentral:rRNA from 1 species
UACAGAGGGUGCGAGCGUUAUUCGGAAUUACUGGGCGUAAAGCGUGCGCAGGCGGUUCGUUAAGUCAGAUGUGAAAGCCCCGGGCUCAACCUGGGAACUGCAUUUGAAACUGGCGGGCUUGAGUAUGGCAGAGGGGGGUGGAAUUCCGCGUGUAGCAGUGAAAUGCGUAGAGAUGCGGAGGAACACCGAUGGCGAAGGCAGCCCCCUGGGCCAAUACUGACGCUGAGGUGCGAAAGCGUGGGGAGCAAACAGG